UUAAUUGAAACCAAAUUAGAGGUAAAUUAUUGUUAAUAAUUUAAUUGAAUAUAAAUUCCAAUUAAA
rnacentral:tRNA from 1 species